UACGGAGGAUGCGAGCGUUAUCCGGAUUUAUUGGUUUAAAGGGUGCGUAGGCGGAUCGUUAAGUCAGUGGUCAAAUUGAGGGGCUCAACCCCUUCCCGCCAUUGAAACUGGCGAUCUUGAGUGGAAGAGAAGUAUGCGGAAUGCGUAGUGUAGCGGUGAAAUGCAUAGAUAUCACGCAGAACCCCGAUUGCGAAGGCAGCAUGCCGGCUUCCUACUGACGCUGAAGCACGAAAGCGUGGGGAUCGAACAGG
rnacentral:rRNA from 1 species